rnacentral:rRNA from 1 species
CCUUAAUUCCGGUGGAUCUCUUGGCAUCGAUGAAGAACGCAGCCAGGUGCGAUAAAGUAGUGUGAAUUGCAGAAUUCAGUGAAUCAUCGAAUCUUAUACACAUACACAGAGCGUGGUUUCGGAGGGUAG